rnacentral:rRNA from 1 species
UGCGCAGGCGGUUAUGUAAGUCAGAUGUGAAAUCCCCGGGCUUAACCUGGGAAUGGCAUUUGAGACUGCAUGGCUAGAGUGUGUCAGGAGGGGGGUAGAAUUCCACGUGUAGCAGUGAAAUGCGUAGAGAUGUGGAGGAAUACCGAUGGCGAAGGCAGCCCCCUGGGAUAACACUGACGCUCAUGCACGAAAGCGUGGGGAGCAAACAGGAUUAGAUACCCUGGUAGUCCACGCCCUAAACGAUGUCUACUAGUUGUCGGGACUUAAUUGUCUUGGUAACGCAGCUAACGCGUGAAGUAGACCGCCGUGGGGAGUACGGUCGCAAGAUUAAA